rnacentral:rRNA from 1 species
UACGUAGGGGGCAAGCGUUGUCCGGAUUUAUUGGGCGUAAAGAGCGUGUAGGCGGCCAAGUAAGUCUGCUGUGAAAACUCGAGGCUUAACCUCGAGCUGUCGGCGGAAACUAUUUGGCUAGAGUCCGGAAGAGGAGAAUGGAAUUCCCGGUGUAGCGGUGAAAUGCGCAGAUAUCGGGAAGAACACCCGUGGCGAAGGCGGUUCUCUGGGACGGUACUGACGCUGAGACGCGGAAAGCGUGGGAGCGAACAGG